rnacentral:rRNA from 1 species
UACGGGGGGAGCAAGCGUUGUUCGGAUUUACUGGGCGUAAAGGGCGCGUAGGCGGUCAGCACAAGUCAGUUGUGAAAUCUCCGAGCUUAACUCGGAAAGGUCAACUGAUACUGUGCGACUAGAGUGCAGAAGGGGCAACUGGAAUUCUUGGUGUAGCGGUGAAAUGCGUAGAUAUCAGGAGGAACACCGGUGGCGAAGGCGGAUCUCUGGGCCAUUACUGACGCUGAGGAGCGAAAGCGUGGGGAGCGAACAGG